rnacentral:rRNA from 1 species
AUGUCCAUCUUGGGGUUUUCGUCCUCUCUCCACACCGCCACCUUUGUGCAGUGCUACCUACCAGACAAUCUGGUACUAAACCUUCGACUCCCAUUUCUCAAGAAAAUUUCACUUGUGCGGGUUCGUAUAUCGGAGGCCUCAUUGCACAACAUCAUCCACUCCAGUUGCCCUGCGCUGGAGUGCUUGGUGCUUGUUUUCACAGUUAGAAUCGGUUGUCUCCAAAUAAAGUCGCCUAGCCUUGUAAGAAUUGGAAUUUCUUUUGACGGAAGGCAGCUCAUCAUCCAAGAUGCCCCUUCACUUCAAAGGUUGAUCCUUGAUUCUAGUUAUUCACCGUUGCAAAUAACCAUCCUCUCUGCGCCUAAACUGGAGACCUUGGGUGUAAUACAUGAUCUCUGUGCUCAUUUCAAUAUGGUGUUUGGCUCCAUAGUUCUUCAGGUACUUUAUAUUAUCAUCUACACUUGUAACCAUAAGCUGCAUUUUAAAUUUCUGCGCAUAAUUUAUAUAUCAUCUUGGAGUACAUAUUUUGUACUAAUAUUAUGUUCUAUGCUCAAUGAAGAGUUUCUCCAUGGAUGGCCUAUCAAUGGUGCUGGAUUCUGUCAAGAUCUUAUAUAUCCAAAUGAAUAG